rnacentral:rRNA from 1 species
GAACGCAUACUUUAGAGUAUGAGUGGCAGACGGGUGAGUAACGCGUGAGACAUCUACCUUACAGCCCGGUAUAAAUAUCUAUAUAGAGGCGAAAAUCUUUAUAUAUGAGUGAAUCCCGGAUAUUUUGAAUAAAAAAAAAGGCAAAGAACCGUUGUAAGAUGAGCUCGCGUAGGAUUAGGUAGUUGGUAAGGUAAAAGCUUAUCCAAGCCGAUGAUCCUUAGCUGUUCUGAGAGGAUGAUCAGCCACACUGGGACUGAGACACGGCCCAGACGCUUUCGAGCGGCAGCAGUGAGGAAUUUUGGACAAUGGGCGAAAGCCUGAUCCAGCUAUAUCGCAUGAAUGAAGAAGGCUCAAUUGAUUGUAAAAUUCAUAGUUUCAUUGUAGAUUAUGACAUUGAUGAAAUGAAUAGUCCCGGCCAACUCCGUGC